UGAGCGGAGUGUUUAGCCCUCUCCCCUGCAGUCUUCUUAUCUCUCAGAAGGACACACUGACUGUACCUGGGCUGUCAUUCUUAAGGAUAGAAUGAGAGCUCUUGCACAAGAGCUUUGAAACCUACAGGGUUAAGGUUGCAGGCUGUGUCGAGUGGAGGCAGAGGAAGCCCUGGACGCCUGGCUUUUCCAAAGGAACACAAUGCUGCUCGGACGCUGCGGUCAGUGAAGAGGGGCCCCUCAGGGUGGAUCGCUCCCACCGGAGUUUAAAUCCUGCCUCCGCCAUCCCUGCAUUCCUGCGCGAUUUUAUGACUGAGCAGAAUCCCUAACCUUUCAGAGCCACGUUUACUCAUCUGUGAAGUGGGGGCCUGCGGCCAGUCCUUGUAAGGAAUCAGAGUCCCUGGCCCAUCCCUCCCCAAAGCGCCGGUGCCAGGCGUUUUGGCCUCUGUAUCUCUGAAACGAGGAGGUCCCGGGGCAUCCCCGAGCGCCCCCGUGGCCAUCUGUGCCACUGGCCAGCCCAGGGCCAGGACUGCUGUGCCGGCGUGGAGAUUCCCGACCCUUUCCAAGGAGGUGCCAAGGGCGCAGCGCAGCGCACGCCCGAGCCGCCGCGGUCCCUCUGAG
rnacentral:lncRNA from 10 species